rnacentral:rRNA from 1 species
UACGGAGGGUGCAAGCGUUAUCCGGAUUCACUGGGUUUAAAGGGUGCGUAGGCGGGCAUGUAAGUCAGUGGUGAAAUCUCCGGGCUUAACCCGGAAAUUGCCGUUGAUACUAUGUGUCUUGAAUAUCGUUGAGGUUUGCGGAAUAUGUCAUGUAGCGGUGAAAUGCUUAGAUAUGACAUAGAACACCAAUUGCGAAGGCAGCAGGCUAAACGAACAUUGACGCUGAGGCACGAAAUCGUGGGGAUCAAACAGG